rnacentral:rRNA from 1 species
CGUGUAGGCGGCACAGAAAGCCUGAUGUGAAAUACCCCGGCUCAACUGGGGAAACGCAUUGGGAACUACUGAGCUAGAGUCUAGGAGGGGAAGCUGGAAUUCCUAGUGUAGGGGUGAAAUCUGUAGAUAUCAGGAAGAACACCGGUGGCGAAGGCGAGCUUCUGGCCAUAGACUGACGCUGAGGCGCGAAAGCGUGGGGAGCGAACAGGAUUAGAUACCCUGGUAGUCC